rnacentral:misc_RNA from 1 species
GUAGGAACUGUUGCCUGGUGCAAUAACAAAAGGCUUUGCAAGCAUGAAGGUUCAAUUUAAGCUCGAGUUUUAAGAUAGCCUCUUCAAGCAUAGAUACUACAAGGAAAGGAACAUGCUUAAAUUCUCCCUCCUAGGUCCUAGCACGUAACUUAAAGGGACAUUACUGGGUUAGCUAAUGGUGUUUCUUCCCUAGUUUUCUGCGAAAACUAUCAAAUAUGUAUUAGGUGGAAUUUGUAAUAGAGAUA